UAAGGUCCCCAAAUAUAUGUUAAGUGGAAAAGGAUGUGGGGUUGCUUAGACAACCAGGAUGUUGGCUUAGAAGCAGCCACCAUUGAAAGAGUGCGUAAUAGCUCACUGGUCGAGUGACCCCGCGCCGAAAAUGUACCGGGGCUAAACAUAUUACCGAAACUGUGGAUGAACCUCUUUAGAGGUUCGUGGUAGGAGAGCGUUCUAAGGGCGGUGAAGUCAGACCGGAAGGACUGGUGGAGCGCUUAGAAGUGAGAAUGCCGGUAUGAGUAGCGAAAGAAGGGUGAGAAUCCCUUCCACCGAAUAUCUAAGGUUUCCUGAGGAAGGCUCGUCCGCUCAGGGUUAGUCGGGACCUAAGCCGAGGCCGAUAGGCGUAGGCGAUGGACAACAGGUAGAGAUUCCUGUACCAGUGCUAAUUGUUUAACCGAUGGGGUGACACAGAAGGAUAGGGAAUCGCACGAAUGGAAAUGUGCGUCCAAGCAGUGAGUGUGAGAAGUAGGCAAAUCCGCUUCUCGCGAAGCAUGAGCUGUGAUGGGGAAGGAAAUUAAGUACGGAAGUUCCUGAUUUCACGCUGUCAAGAAAAGCCUCUAGGAAGAGUAGUACUGCCCGUACCGCAAACCGACACAGGUAGAUGAGGAGAGAAUCCUAAGGUGAGCGAGAGAACUCUCGUUAAGGAACUCGGCAAAAUGACCCCGUAACUUCGGGAGAAGGGGUGCUCUAUUAGGGUGCAAGCCCGAGAGAGCCGCAGUGAAUAGGCCCAGGCGACUGUUUAGCAAAAACACAGGUCUCUGCAAAACCGUAAGGUGACGUAUAGGGGCUGACGCCUGCCCGGUGCUGGAAGGUUAAGAGGAGUGCUUAGCUUCGGCGAAGGUACGAAUUGAAGCCCCAGUAAACGGCGGCCGUAACUAUAACGGUCCUAAGGUAGCGAAAUUCCUUGUCGGGUAAGUUCCGACCCGCACGAAAGGCGCAACGAUCUGGGCACUGUCUCAACGAGAGACUCGGUGAAAUUAUAGUACCUGUGAAGAUGCAGGUUACCCGCGACAGGACGGAAAGACCCCGUGGAGCUUUACUGCAACCUGAUAUGGAAUGUUUGUACCGCUUGUACAGGAUAGGUAGGAGCCGAAGAGACGUGUGCGCUAGCAUACGAGGAGGCAAUGGUGGGAUACUACCCUGGCUGUAUGACCAUUCUAACCCGCCACGCUUAGCGCGUGGGGAGACAGUGUCAGGUGGGCAGUUUGACUGGGGCGGUCGCCUCCUAAAGAGUAACGGAGGCGCCCAAAGGUUCCCUCAGAAUGGAUGGAAAUCAUUCGCAGAGUGUAAAGGCACAAGGGAGCUUGACUGCGAGACUGACAAGUCGAGCAGGGACGAAAGUCGGGCUUAGUGAUCCGGUGGUUCCGCAUGGAAGGGCCAUCGCUCAACGGAUAAAAGCUACCCCGGGGAUAACAGGCUUAUCUCCCCCAAGAGUCCACAUCGACGGGGAGGUUUGGCACCUCGAUGUCGGCUCGUCGCAUCCUGGGGCUGUAGUCGGUCCCAAGGGUUGGGCUGUUCGCCCAUUAAAGCGGCACGCGAGCUGGGUUCAGAACGUCGUGAGACAGUUCGGUCCCUAUCCGUCGCGGGCGCAGGAAAUUUGAGAGGAGCUGUCCUUAGUACGAGAGGACCGGGAUGGACACACCGCUGGUGUACCAGUUGUUCCGCCAGGAGCAUCGCUGGGUAGCUAUGUGUGGCAGGGAUAAACGCUGAAAGCAUCUAAGCGUGAAGCCCCCCUCAAGAUGAGAUUUCCCAUUUCUUCGGAAAGUAAGAUCCCUGAAAGAUGAUCAGGUAGAUAGGUUUGGAGUGGAAGUGUAGCGAUACAUGGAGCGGACAAAUACUAAUCGAUCGAGGACUUAACCAAAA
rnacentral:rRNA from 1 species